UACGUAGGGGGCUAGCGUUGUCCGGAAUCAUUGGGCGUAAAGCGCGUGUAGGCGGUUCGGUAAGUCCGCUGUGAAAGUCGGGGGCUCAACCCUCGAAAGCCGGUGGAUACUGUCGGACUAGAGUGCGGAAGAGGCGAGUGGAAUUCCUGGUGUAGCGGUGAAAUGCGCAGAUAUCGGGAGGAACACCAGUGGCGAAGGCGGCGAUCUGGGUGGAUACUGACGCUGAGGUGCGAAAGCGUGGGGAGCAAACAGG
rnacentral:rRNA from 1 species